rnacentral:rRNA from 1 species
AUUGAACGCUGGCGGUAUGCUUAACACAUGCAAGUCGAACGGCGGCAUGGAAGAACUUGUUCUUCUGAUGGCGAGUGGCGGACGGGUGAGUAAUACAUAGGAAUCUGCCUUAUAGUUUGGGAUAACCACUCGAAAGAGUGGCUAAUACCGGAUGUGGACUACGGUUUAAAGCAGGGGAUCUUCGGACCUUGCGCUAUAAGAUGAGCCUAUGCAAGAUUAGCUAGUUGGUGAGGUAAAGGCUCACCAAGGCGACGAUCUUUAGCUGGUCUGGGAGGAUGAUCAGCCACACUGGGACUGAGACACGGCCCAGACUCCUACGGGAGGGAGCAGUGGGGAAUAUUGGACAAUGGGCGGAAGCCUGAUCCAGCAAUACCGCGUGUGUGAAGAAGGCCCUAGGGUUGUAAAGCACUUUUGUCAGGGAGAAUGGUUGUUGUGGUUAAUACCCAUAGCAAUUGAUGUUACCUGAAGAAUAAGCACCGGCUAACUCCGUGCCAGCCGCCGCGGUAA